rnacentral:rRNA from 1 species
AAAGGAAUUGACGGGGGCCCGCACAAGCGGCGGAGCAUGCUGAUUAAUUCGAUGCAACGCGAAGAACCUUACCUGGGUUUGACAUAUACCGGAAAGCCGUAGAGAUACGGCCCCUUUUAGUCGGUAUACAGGUGGUGCAUGGCUGUCGUCAGCUCGUGUCGUGAGAUGUUGGGUUAAGUCCCGCAACGAGCGCAACCCUCGUUCUAUGUUGCCAGCACGUAAUGGUGGGGACUCAUAGGAGACUGCCGGGGUCAACUCGGAGGAAGGUGGGGAUGACGUCAAGUCUUCAUGCCCCUUAUGUCCAGGGCUUCAAGCAUGCUACAAUGGCCGGUACAAAGGGCUGCGAAACCGCAAGGUGGAGCGAAUCCCAAAAAGCCGGUCUCAGUUCGGAUUGGGGUCUGCAACUCGACCCCAUGAAGUCGGAGUCGCUAGUAAUCGCAGAUCAGCAACGCUGCGGUGAAUACGUUCCCGGGCCUUGUACACACCGCCCGU